rnacentral:rRNA from 1 species
UGUCAACUUGUGUUGUGAAAUGUUGGGUUAAGUCCCGCAACGAGCCCAACCCUUAUCCUUGUUUGCCAGCCAUUCGGGUGGGAACUCCAGGGAGACUGCCGGUGAUAAACCGGAGGAAGGUGGGGAGGACGUCAAGUCAUCAUGCCCCUUACGACUAGGGCUACACACGUGCUACAAUGGCAGAUACAGAGGGCAGCAAGCCCGCGAGGUCAAGCGAAUCCCAGAAAGUAUGUCGUAGUCCGGAUCGGAGUCUGCAACUCGCCUCCGUGAAGUCGGAAUCGCUAGUAAUCGUGGAUCAGCAUGCCACGGUGAAUACGUUCCCGGGCCUUGUACACACCGCCCGUCACACCAUGGGA